GACGAACGCUGGCGGCGUGCUUAACACAUGCGAGUCGAACGGAAAGGCCCUGCUUUUGUGGGGUGCUCGAGUGGCGAACGGGUGAGUAACACGUGAGUAACCUGCCCUUGACUUUGGGAUAACUUCAGGAAACUGGGGCUAAUACCGGAUAGGAGCUCCUGCUGCAUGGUGGGGGUUGGAAAGUUUCGGCGGUUGGGGAUGGACUCGCGGCUUAUCAGCUUGUUGGUGGGGUAGUGGCUUACCAAGGCUUUGACGGGUAGCCGGCCUGAGAGGGUGACCGGCCACAUUGGGACUGAGAUACGGCCCAGACUCCUACGGGAGGCAGCAGUGGGGAAUAUUGCACAAUGGGCGGAAGCCUGAUGAAGAAACGCAGCGUGCGGGAUGACGGCCUUCGGGUUGUAAACCGCUUUCGCCUGUGACGAAGCGUGAGUGACGGUAAUGGGUAAAGAAGCACCGGCUAACUACGUG
rnacentral:rRNA from 1 species